UCUUUUGCAUGUUAGAAACCUUAGAAACCUUUUCGAAUUACAACUUCAGCUUUUAUUCAUAAAUUAUUUUAUUGAAUCUAUGUGAUUUCUAUAAAUUAAAUGGUUAUUUAAAAGUAUAAUAAUUCAAAGUCGUAAUUUUCACUUUAAUCACUUUAGUUCCGUCUCAAGUCUACAACUGUGACAUUAUUAAAAAAAAUAAACGUCAAAAAUUUUUCAUCGAAAAAACGUGUUUUUCUACGAUUUUUAAUUGUUUCUAAUUGAAAUCAAUAAUUUCUCAGUCAUUAUUAAUAAGAACUACAUGUGCAUGGAUUGCCUGUUGGAUUGAUGUUUGUUUACGAAAAAAAUUCUCUCAAGUAAGUUAAUAAGUAAGUUAUUUCACUCGAGAUAGGUUAUUACUUGCAGCAACAUCAUGUUUUAAGUAUUGAACCACACAAAGGAUUAAAUCUUCAUUACAAAAUCAUUCAUAACUCCAUUUAAAUCAAUGGAAACCAAAUAUGGAUAGUUUCAUGGAGUAACAACAUACUUUGGAUUUUGGACAUAAAAUACAAUACAAGUUAAUAUCGAACUUCGAACUUAUAAAGUGUUAAGCAGCAAUUACAAUAAAAGUGCUUGCUGUGGAAUCACUGGUGCUGCUCAUUAUUGUCAACUGUUACUUAAAAAGGUUAUGCCAUGCAUUAAAUUAGGAAGAUUUGUGUUGGAUGAAUUACCCAGAUAACAAUUAAAACAACUUCUAUUUAUAAGAACAUUCGAUUGGUGGAAUCCAGAUUCUGUGAAUAUAUAUUAAGUAAUUGAUUGACAAGUACACAUUUGACAAGGUGGUGAGAAACAUGUAGAUCUGGCCUGCUUACAGUGGAGUGGACAGAACCAACGUGAGAGUGAACGUGUGAAUUUAUGGAGAACAUUAAACUAUUUUACUAUAAGUCUUAACGCAACAUAUUUUAUAUGAGUUACAUACAAAUGUCAAUCUGUGAGUACAUAAUGUAAAAACUAAAACAAUGUACUGUUAUCACAACAGUAACUGUAAUCUUUUAAAAUCCAGUAGUUUUAUUGCUUAUUGAUUUUCGUAAACAAAAUAUUUCAUGUUAUAUUUCAUCAAU